rnacentral:rRNA from 1 species
AACGAACGCUGGCGGCAUGCCUAACACAUGCAAGUCGAACGAAGUCUUCGGACUUAGUGGCGCACGGGUGCGUAACGCGUGGGAAUCUGCCCUUGGGUGCGGAAUAACUUCUCGAAAGGGAUGCUAAUACCGCAUAAUGUCGUAAGACCAAAGAUUUAUCGCCCAAGGAUGAGCCCGCGUAAGAUUAGCUAGUUGGUGGGGUAAAAGCCUACCAAGGCGACGAUCUUUAGCUGGUCUGAGAGGAUGAUCAGCCACACUGGGACUGAGACACGGCCCAGACUCCUACGGGAGGCAGCAGUGGGGGAAUAUUGGACAAUGGGCGAAAGCCUGAUCCAGCAAUGCCGCGUGAGUGAUGAAGGCCCUAGGGUUGUAAAGCUCUUUUACCCGAGAUGAUAAUGACAGUAUCGGGAGAAUAAGCUCCGGCUAACUCCGUGCCAGCAGCCGCGGUAAU